UACGAGGGGGGCUAGCGUUGCUCGGAAUCACUGGGCGUAAAGCGCACGUAGGCGGAUUGCUAAGUCAGGGGUGAAAUCCUGGAGCUCAACUCCAGAACUGCCUUUGAUACUGGUGAUCUUGAGUCCGGGAGAGGUGAGUGGAACUGCGAGUGUAGAGGUGAAAUUCGUAGAUAUUCGCAAGAACACCAGUGGCGAAGGCGGCGACCUGGGUCGAUACUGACGCUGAGGUGCGAAAGCGUGGGGAGCAAACAGG
rnacentral:rRNA from 1 species